GAUGGAUUCGAUCGAGGCGCGUUGGGGGUUUCAGGACGAGGAGGGAUCGGAGAUGGAUAAUGACGGCACUGAUACCGGCGAAAGCGUCGAUGAUUCGCUGCAGCUGAACGGUAUUGACUCCGACGACGAGGACAACGCCGAGCAGCGGCUGAUUCGGACUGGUCAUUGGAUUGAUUCUUUCGACGUCGAAGCUCUGGAAGUUCCCGGUGCUCAUAAGAA